GAGUUUGAUCCUGGCUCAGGAUGAACGCUAGCUACAGGCUUAACACAUGCAAGUCGAGGGGCAGCAUUUUAGUUUGCUUGCAAACUAAAGAUGGCGACCGGCGCACGGGUGAGUAACACGUAUCCAACCUGCCGAUAACUCGGGGAUAGCCUUUCGAAAGAAAGAUUAAUAUCCGAUAGUAUAUUAAAACCGCAUGGUUUUACUAUUAAAGAAUUUCGGUUAUCGAUGGGGAUGCGUUCCAUUAGUUUGUUGGCGGGGUAACGGCCCACCAAGACUACGAUGGAUAGGGGUUCUGAGAGGAAGGUCCCCCACAUUGGAACUGAGACACGGUCCAAACUCCUACGGGAGGCAGCAGUGAGGAAUAUUGGUCAAUGGACGAGAGUCUGAACCAGCCAAGUAGCGUGAAGGAUGACUGCCCUAUGGGUUGUAAACUUCUUUUAUAUGGGAAUAAAGUAUUCCACGUGUGGGAUUUUGUAUGUACCAUAUGAAUAAGGAUCGGCUAACUCCGUGCCAGCAGCCGCGGUAAUACGGAGGAUCCGAGCGUUAUCCGGAUUUAUUGGGUUUAAAGGGAGCGUAGGUGGAUUGUUAAGUCAGUUGUGAAAGUUUGCGGCUCAACCGUAAAAUUGCAGUUGAAACUGGCAGUCUUGAGUACAGUAGAGGUGGGCGGAAUUCGUGGUGUAGCGGUGAAAUGCUUAGAUAUCACGAAGAACUCCGAUUGCGAAGGCAGCUCACUAGACUGCAACUGACACUGAUGCUCGAAAGUGUGGGUAUCAAACAGGAUUAGAUACCCUGGUAGUCCACACAGUAAACGAUGAAUACUCGCUGUUUGCGAUAUACAGUAAGCGGCCAAGCGAAAGCAUUAAGUAUUCCACCUGGGGAGUACGCCGGCAACGGUGAAACUCAAAGGAAUUGACGGGGGCCCGCACAAGCGGAGGAACAUGUGGUUUAAUUCGAUGAUACGCGAGGAACCUUACCCGGGCUUAAAUUGCAUUUGAAUAAUCUGGAAACAGGUUAGCCGCAAGGCAAAUGUGAAGGUGCUGCAUGGUUGUCGUCAGCUCGUGCCGUGAGGUGUCGGCUUAAGUGCCAUAACGAGCGCAACCCUUAUCUUUAGUUACUAACAGGUCAUGCUGAGGACUCUAGAGAGACUGCCGUCGUAAGAUGUGAGGAAGGUGGGGAUGACGUCAAAUCAGCACGGCCCUUACGUCCGGGGCUACACACGUGUUACAAUGGGGGGUACAGAAGGCAGCUACCUGGCGACAGGAUGCUAAUCCCAAAAACCUCUCUCAGUUCGGAUCGAAGUCUGCAACCCGACUUCGUGAAGCUGGAUUCGCUAGUAAUCGCGCAUCAGCCAUGGCGCGGUGAAUACGUUCCCGGGCCUUGUACACACCGCCCGUCAAGCCAUGAAAGCCGGGGGUACCUGAAGUACGUAACCGCAAGGAGCGUCCUAGGGUAAAACUGGUAAUUGGGGCUAAGUCGUAACAAGGUAGCCGUACCGGAAGGUGCGGCUGGAACACC
rnacentral:rRNA from 1 species